UACGUAAGAGGCAAGCGAAAACCGGAAUUAUUGGGCGUAAAGCGUACGUAGGUGGUUGAGUAAGCCUGCUGUUAAAGCGUGGAGCUUAACUCCAUAUCGGCAGUGGAAACUACUUGACAUGAGGGCGGUAGGGGUCAGGGGAAUUCCCAGUGUAGCGGGGAAAUGCGUAGAUAUUGGGAAGAACACCGGUGGCGAAAGCGCCUGACUGGGCCUGCACUGACACUGAGGGACGAAAGCUAGGGGAGCGAAAGGG
rnacentral:rRNA from 1 species